rnacentral:rRNA from 1 species
UUAUUUGAAACAGAAUACAACCUCCACCACUGGGUAAUAACGGGCAAUAAAAAUAAAGUGGGCCUAAAAGCAGCCACCUUAAGAAAAGCGUCAAAGCUUAACUAUCUCAGCCUCAAAUUACUAAAACACCCCCCCAACCCUUAAUUCCUACUGAACCCUUUUAUACCUCUAUAAAAACGAUUAUGCUAGAACUAGUAACAAGAAUAUGCCAUUCUCCUCAAUGUAAACAUAGACCAGAACGGACACCCCCGCUGGUAAUUAACGCUAAUGUAAAACCAUAACAACAAUACAACAAGAAAACCUUAUGGCCAUCCUGCGUUACCCUAACACCAGAGCAUUCCAGGAAAGAUUAAAAGAAAGGGAAGGAAUUCGGCAAAUUUUAGCCCCGCCUGUUUACCAAAAACAUCGCCUUCUGACUAAGCAUAGAAGGUCUAGCCUGCCCAGUGACAAGAUUCAACGGCCGCGGUAUUCUAACCGUGCGAAGGUAGCGUAAUAACUUGUUUCCUAAAUAGGGACCAGUAUCAACGGCAUCACGAGGGCCAUACUGUCUCCCCCCUCCAAUCAGUAAAACUGAUCUCCCCGUGAAGAAGCGGGGAUUUAUCU